rnacentral:rRNA from 1 species
CCUACGGGAGGCAGCAGUGAGGAAUAUUGGUCAAUGGACGAGAGUCUGAACCAGCCAAGUAGCGUGAAGGAUGACUGCCCUAUGGGUUGUAAACUUCUUUUAUAUGGGAAUAAAACAGGGUAUGCAUACCCUCUUGUAUGUACCAUAUGAAUAAGGAUCGGCUAACUCCGUGCCAGCAGCCGCGGUAAUACGGAGGAUGCGAGCGUUAUCCGGAUUUAUUGGGUUUAAAGGGAGCGUAGGUGGGUCGGUAAGUCAGUUGUGAAAGCUUGCGGCUCAACCGUAAGAUUGCAGUUGAAACUGGCAUUCUUGAGUACAGGAGAGGUGGGCGGAAUUCGUGGUGUAGCGGUGAAAUGCUUAGAUAUCACGAAGAACUCCGGUUGCGAAGGCAGCUCACUGGACUGCAACUGACACUGAUGCUCGAAAGUGUGGGUAGCAAACAGGAUUAGAUACCCUAGUAGUC